rnacentral:rRNA from 1 species
AACGAACGCUGGCGGCAUGCCUAACACAUGCAAGUCGAACGAAGCCUUCGGGCUUAGUGGCGCACGGGUGCGUAACGCGUGGGAAUCUGCCCUUUGGUUCGGAAUAACAGUUGGAAACGACUGCUAAUACCGGAUGAUGACGGAAGUCCAAAGAUUUAUCGCCAGAGGAUGAGCCCGCGUAGGAUUAGCUAGUUGGUGUGGUAAAGGCGCACCAAGGCGACGAUCCUUAGCUGGUCUGAGAGGAUGAUCAGCCACACUGGGACUGAGACACGGCCCAGACUCCUACGGGAGGCAGCAGUGGGGAAUGUGGGACAAUGGGGGAAAGCCUGAUCCAGCAAUGCCGCGUGAGUGAUGAAGGCCCUAGGGUUGUAAAGCUCUUUUACCCGGGAUGAUAAUGACAGUACCGGGAGAAUAAGCCCCGGCUAACUCCGUGCCAGCAGCCGCCGUAAUAC